CGAAAAGGAACAAACCCAAAACAAGGCACUUUCAAGAAGGUGGUAGAAGCUGAUGGAACUCUCUGGUUUUUUUUGUUUUAUCCCUUCUGGAUAGCUGCAGAACUUUCUGUAGUUCUCAGAGAAACCUUCUGUGCCGUCCUAUAUAUAUACAAGUCACUCCGGUACCCACCCAAUCAGAUAGAAUUAUCCAAAGCAAUCUAAGCAAAAAUCUCUCACUCAUAUCCUUCGAAUUCACAUCCAGCAUCUAAUGGCUCUCAGUCUCUUUGGCGGACGACGAAACAACGUCUUCGACCCUUUCUCUUUGGACAUCUGGGACCCAUUCGAGAGCUUCGGCCCUCUGGCCAACUUCCCCUCCUCCGCCCGUGAAACCACCGCCAUCGCCAACACCCGCAUCGACUGGAAGGAGACCCCGGAGGCUCACAUCUUCAAGGCGGACCUGCCGGGGAUCAAAAAGGAAGAGGUGAAAGUGGAGGUGGAGGACGGGAGGGUGCUGCAGAUCAGCGGGGAGAGGAGCCGAGAGCAGGAGGAGAAGAACGACACGUGGCACAGGGUGGAGAGGAGCAGCGGCAAGUUUAUGAGGAGGUUCAGGCUGCCAGAGAACGCGAAGCUUGAUCAGGUGAAGGCGGCGAUGGAGAACGGGGUGCUGACUGUUACUGUGCCGAAAGAGGUGAAGAGGCCUGAUGUCAAGGCCAUUGACAUCUCCGGCUAAACUAAAUUCGUAUAACCUCGGCUACUUUUAGGUUUAAUGUCAUAAUUAUGUUAAAUGAUCAUGGUUUGUUGACAUUGUUGUGGUGUCAGCUCCUGCUUUUUGUUCUUGUAUUUCAGUGUCUCUGUGUCAAUUUUCAUGUAUGGUUUCUGCUUGUGAAAUAUUAUAAACCUUAAUAAGGGUUUUGAGUACACUUAUUUUAAUUCAAUCAAUUCAAAUUAACUCAUAAUUUCAAUGAAAAAACAAUUGCAAAAUUAUCUAUCCUACCGGGAAGAGUGGAGAUGCAAGAAUCGGACGGAGGUACGUGUCCGUCUUUUCUUCCUGGUCGCGCUUCCUCACCCCACUGAUCUGGAGGAUCCGACCAUCCUCCACAUGAACCUUCACCAUCUCCUUCCGGAGCCCCGGCGCGUCCGAAUCAUACGGAUGACGACGACUGGGAAGGAGAGUGGGCGUACAUGAAGAGGUGUGUAGGGGAGAUGAAGCGUAUGAAGAACGUCGACAACCCAGAGGAGAACCUCCAAGGUGUGGACGACGCAAAGCCCGAUGAUGAGGAGGAAAAUAACGGCACGGCCUCUUCUCCCGAACCCCAAACCAAAACACAAAAAAAUCCGAUCGAUUAGUGCUAAGAAUUUGAAAUUUAGGGAUAGGGUUUGGAUGGAAUUGGGGUAUUUUGUAUAAAAUUAGUUACAGGGAUUAAUUUGAUGAGGGUGAUGGGAGUGUAAGUGGGGGAGGGGGAGGAGCCCCAUGGGAGGGAGGUGGAGAUGGAGGAAGAGAUGGCGGGAGUUGCAGAGAGGUGAGAGGGAAAGAAGGGGAUCUGGGUGUGGGUUUGGUUUUUCUUUUUUUUUUCUUUUUUAACAUUUAGUGAAUUUUUUAAUUUUUUAAUCUAGUUAGAAUUGAAAGUGGGCCUUAUCUCAAGUUAUGUCAGUAUUUAAUAAAGAGAUUGACAAAAAACCUAAUAGAUGUCUGAUAUUGUAACAAAUUCGUAAAAUGAUAUAUGACAUUGAAAUAUUUUAAAGACGGAAUAUGAAACUAUGAUUGGCCUAAUAGUUGAGGUAGUUUUGUGUAAUUUACCCUUUAAAGAAAGUUCACUCCACGCAAAUUAACUCCUUAACCCCCAGAUUAGGAUCCCAUCCAAAUCCAAAUUAUGGGGAUCCUAAAGAUCUUCACAUCUUAAUCAUUCAUCGUGUAUUGUGCGGUCAGAAAUUAUUUGACUUUUUUAUUUAAAAUUAAACACAAAUAGUACCUGACAAAAACUGACCACACGAUGUACGAUGAAUGACUAGGAUGUGGGGAUCCCUAUAAUCUCUACAAAAUGGAUCCUAAGAGGAUCCUCUUCCCUGAUCUCCACCAUCAUCAGCACAAAGCCAAUCUUUUCUCCAGUCUUCACACACCUAUCGGUACUUCAAGAUCAACUUGGUAUUUAUAUUCAUUCUAUGCAUUGAAGAAAUGGCUUUUCUCAAUUGUAAGGGAUUAGUAAUCUUACUAAAAAUGAUGAAAAAAGGGUUACAUGAAUUGUUGUUUGUACAAAAAUUAUGAAUAAAAAGUUGUAGUUUCGUUUAAUGUUUCAAUUUUAUUUUCAUUUAAUUUUUUGGAGCUUUUUGUGAAACUUUAUAGGCCUAAUCAUGGUCCAUCACCAAUAUCACCGAUAUAGUCCCAAAUUAACCACAUAUGGCUAGGUGUUGGGUUUUAUCCCAAAAUGACUAAUAAUAUUAGGGAUGAAAACUCUUAUAUAUUGAUUGUAUAAUAUUUUGUCAUAUGAUCUAUGUGGGAUCUUAUUCUCCAACAUUUUUUUAUUAGAACUUCUCGAUAAUAAAAUCCUAAAUCCGCCACUGUCCUCAUCUACACUUGAGAAUUUCAAAUAAGUGGAGCUUUCCAAUUGUCCUUGAUAACAAGAGGAUUCUUGGUUGGGUAAUGUAAAUUCAUGAUAAAGAUGAAACUGUAAACACCUAGUCGUGUGUUUGCAGCUAGGAUGGUAAAGAGGAUUCCUAGGUAAUGUAAACUUCAUGAUUAACAUGAAAUUGUAAUGUAUUAUAGUGAGAGUAUGGUUAGUCGAAUGCAAUUAGGUCUGUUAUACUGUUAGAAUUUAGGCUUUAAUUUUCUAGGAGAUGAGGCAGUGAGGGUUACUAAGAACACAGAUCCUCUCCUAAUCUGUGCAACCGGAGCCUGAGGAUCAAUGGAUCCGGGACAUUGAAAUUGAAUCCAACGGCUAUAUUAUUAUAACUUUGAGUUUUAACGAUAAGGACAAAAUAAGAGGUAAGUGAUUAGUACCAUGAUUGAUUUUUUAGUGUAAAAAUGUAGUUUUUAGUUAAAGUGAACAGUACCACAGACUUUUCGUUAAAACUCCAUUUUCUUUUCUUUUUUUUAAUUAAAAAUCAGCAUAGUUAAAUUUGAUAUUAGGUGGUUAGAUACGUGUAAGAAAUAAGCGAAGAGACAUAAAAAACUUCAAAUUGGGGACAUCAAACCCUAAGUCAUCUAUCACCUACUUUAAAAUUAGUUUGACAACAGCCACUUAGUAUUACGGUAUAGUGAUAUUCCUCUUUACUUGUAAGUGAAAAGUUUUAAGUUCGAUUCUCCCCAAAGGCGAACUUGAAUUACAUUAUUGCUAACUCAUUGUGAGGCUUAAUCCACUCUUCCACUUUUUUAGUGUAGAUAAUAUCGUUUGUUUAAAAAUUAGUUAGACAACAUAAUUGAGUUUAGUUUUUUUUUUCUUAAUUAACAUGAUACCUAAUUUUAUAAAGGAAAACUAAUGAAAAUGGCUUGAAAACUUUGAGUUUUAAUGAUAAGGACAAAAUAAAGGGUAAAAUGAAUAGUACCAGAAUUGACUUUUUAGUGUAAAAAUGUGGUUUUUCGUUAAAGUAAACAGUACCGGGUGCUUUUCGUUAAAGUUCCCAUUUUAUAAUACCAAUUUGGAGUCUUUUUGUAAGUACCAAUUAUGUUUUGGGCCGAAAAGGAACUAACCCAAAAAAAAGCACUUUCAAGAAGGUGGUAGAAGCUGAUGGAACUCUCUGGUUCUUUUUUGUUUUAUCCCUUCUGGAUAGCUGCAGAACUUUCUGUAGUUCUCAGAGAAACCUUCUGUGCCGUCCUAUAUAUAUACAAGUCACUCCGGUACCCACCCCAUCAGAUAGAAUCAUCCAAAGAAAUAUAAGCAAAGAUCUCUCACUCAAAUCCUUCGAAUUCACACCCAGCAAAAACCCAACUCUAAUCCGGCAUCUAAUGGCUCUCAGUCUCUUUGGCGGACGACGAAACAACAUCUUCGACCCCUUCUCUCUGGACAUCUGGGACCCAUUCGAGGGCUUCGGCCCUCUGGCCAACUUCCCCUCCUCCGCCCGUGAAACCACCGCCAUCGCCAACACCCGCAUCGACUGGAAGGAGACCCCGGAGGCUCACAUCUUCAAGGGGGAC
rnacentral:lncRNA from 1 species